rnacentral:rRNA from 1 species
GAUGAACGCUGGCGGCGUGCCUAAUACAUGCCAGUCGAACGAACAGACGAGGAGCUUGCUCCUCUGACGUUAUCGGCAGACGUGUGAGUAACACAUGGAUAACCUACCUAUGAGACUGGGAUAACUUCGGAAAACCGGAGCUAAUACCGUAUAAUAUAUUGAACCACAUGAUUCAAUAAUGAAAGACGAUUUUACUGUCACUUAUAGAUGCAUCCUCGCCGCAUUAUCUAGUUGGGAAGGUAACGGCUUACAAAGGCGACGAUGCGUAGCCGACCUGAGAGGUUGAUCGGCAAAAUUGGACUUGAGCCAAGGUCAAGCCUCCUACGGGAGGAAGAAGAAGGGAAUCUUCCGAAAUGGGCGAAAGCCUGACGGAGCAACGCCGCGUGAGUGAUGAAGGUCUUCGGAUCGUAAACCUCGGUUAUUAGGGAAGAACAAAUGUGUAAGUAAAUAUGCACGUUUUGACGGUACCUAACCAGAAAGCCACGGCUAACUACGUG